GUGUAGAUUCUAAAGGCAGAAUCAGCCAGAUUGAACCAUGUUACCUCGGAGGAUGACAACAAAUCCUUAUGGGCUGAUCUUAUUCUCUAAGGAGUUCCUGAUGGAGGACGCCUUCCCUGUCCUGAAGCCCCACCAGACCAGUGGCUUUCUCUACAUCCGGAGGGUACAGAGGGCAGUGGCUACAUCUUAUUCAUCUUAGUAUCUCCAAUGCCUAGGACAUGCCUGCUCAAUAAAUGUUUGCUGAAUGAAUGAA